rnacentral:rRNA from 1 species
UUCUACAGCCAUGCCACCCUGAACAAGCCCAAUCCCAUCUGAUCUUGGAAGCUAAGCAGGAUUGGGCCUGGCUAAUACUUGGAUGGGAGACCACCUAGGAAGACCAGAUGCUGUAGAUG